rnacentral:lncRNA from 1 species
CAGUAGGAAAAAAUGAGAGGAAAAAAUAGUUUAAAAAAGGAAAUAUCUUUUAUUUUACCAAAAAUGUUCAGUAGUUGUGUGAUUUAGGGCAAUGGCUUAAUGGAGCGAAUUUCAGCUUUUCAGCUUAUUACACAUUCAGUUCACCUUUUGUCUUUCGUAUUUAGAAAUCCACUUGCACUAAUACUCAAUCUCAGCAAAGCGCUGUCUCACAGCUAGUAAGUAUCUCAAGGGUAUUUGUUUCCAUACUUCUCCAGCAUCCAGUAUUUCAGGGUAAGUGGGUACUGUGUCUUUUAUAAAGCCGACAGAAUUUAUGGUCAGGAAACGUUAGGUGAUAAUCUUUUUAUCCUUCUUGAUGAAUCAAAAACUAAAAUUUCAUUCUAACAGUUGCAGUGUCUUGGUUCACCUAACAGAUGUUUAUAAUUUGGGUGAAAAUACACAGCGAUUUCCAGGAACCUUACUUAGGUUGUGAGAUCUAGCCUGUCGUGGUGUUUUUUUAAAUCUUCAUUGCCCUCUCGUGUUUCAACUCUGCAUUACAUCAGUUGGCUGCGACCUAGAUGAUGACCUCCUUAACAUUUAGAUAUUUUUGCACUUUAGAGAAUAUUGUUUUUAAUUUGUGUGGAGGUGGAUUAUUUUAUUCGAUAUCACUUUUGUGAAGAUCAGGUCAAUUUCAUCGUACAUACAGUUAAUAGUUGAACUAGAUUGACUGUACUCUUUUCUGACUUCUGCUGAACUGCAGAACUGAUUCAUCUAUCUGACUUAUUUGAAGUACAGUGCUAAUAUCUAAUUUGCAUAUAAUGAGUCUUUGAAAUUGAGCAAAUGUCUAAUUGAAAACAUAAUUAUUUUUCAAAUAUCUGUCAAGUUCCACUCAUACUGAAAUAACUUGAGACCUUAUGACUGACGUGGAAAAACCCUGGGUGAAUCAUGGUUUUAAUAAGUUGGUAUUCUGACUCUUGGAUUCCAAUUUCAGAGUCUUUUUGUACCUUUUAUCAAAAGUAAGAAUCAUCAUUGAAAUUAUUUCAGGGUAUAAGUCAAAGAUACAGAUAAUUUCAAAGAUAGUAUGUUGAUUUGGGAGGGGGGGUACCCGGGAUUGAACUCAGGGGCACUUAACCACUGAGCUACAUUCCCAGCACUAUUUUGUAGCUUUUUUUUAGAGACAGGGUCUCACUGAGUUGCUUAGUGCCUCGCCAUUACUGAGGCUGGCUUUGAACUUGUGAUUCUCCUGCCUCAGCCUCCUGAAUCAUUGGGAUUAUAGGCAUGUGCCACUGUGCCCGGCAUGUAUGUUGAUUUUUCAAAAAGGCAUUCCAGGGGCUGGUGUUGUAGCUCAGUGGUAAAGCAUUUUUUAUAAAAACUUUUUUUAUAAAAUUUUUUAAAAUAAGGGGAAAAAGGCAUUCCAAAG